UUAAAGAAAACAAUGGUUUGUGUCUUAUAAUAUACGGCCAAUAAUUUAAUUUACUUGACAAAAAAAUAAAUGUUUGUUAGUUUUAAACAUUCGCUUGGAUCCGCAGGGACUGAGACGAAAGG
rfam:Smithella sp. SCADC Smithella_SCADC_Contig_11, whole genome shotgun sequence.